CGUAGGCAGACAACGUGGUGUAUCAAGUGUUGCUGACAUGGUCAGGGGGAUGGUGUUGCAGAACACCUCUUCUUGUCGUGGCAUUCACGGAUCAAUAUCUGUUGGAUUUGGAUCUGCAUUUUCUCCGACCAGCAAGGGUUUAUUGAGUCCUUCCGAAUGAUGGCCGGCUGGCUUGAGUGUGUCAAUUCUGGCUAAUAUUUUAUAGCGUCAGGAUUUUAGAUAUGAACUAAAUACCCACCAAGUGGAUACUUCAGUUCCCACGAGAAAUAUGGGGGAAAAGGAAUUCAAGAUCAGUUGUUACCUUUUCUGUAUUGGUGUUUCGACAGUUCUGAGGUUGAAUCAGCAUUAUAUAAUAUUCUCUACCUUUGCAUGUGCCUGUGGUUCUGCUCAUUAAUAUAAUGAGGCAAUUUUAUUUUGAUGAAAGGU
rnacentral:lncRNA from 1 species